rnacentral:lncRNA from 1 species
AUAUAUGUUUUGAGAAAAAUGUAAGUUAGGUAUAACUUAUUGUUUUAACUAUUAUAAGGCAGUGUUUACAUAAAUUAAUCAUCUCUUUCUUGGAAAACAUUGAGACAAAUUUAUUUUCAGUUUUACUUAAACAUGAAACCUGUAUUUUAGUUGCUUUUUGUUUUGUCCAGAAAUUUCCAGAUUUUCUCUUCAUUUUUUUUUUCUGGUUAAAAUCUAAACCAUAGUGAAGAUAGUAUUUAUGUUUACAUUUUAUCUGUGAAUGUGGCUAAGCAGAGAAGCUAAAUGGCUUUGGUCUACGUAUUUUUUGACCUCGUAUUUGGUUCUAUAGUUGCAGACUUGUGAAGGCUUACAUCAUCAUGGAGACUUUAGUAUGGAAGGAACCAAAAGGUUUUUGGUUUGGGGAUGCAAACUGGAGGUUAUGUUGCAAGUCUUCGAUGCAUUUUCUGUGUUCCUGGGAGCAGUGUUGCCUUUUUUUUUCCUUUUCCUUUUUUUUUUUUGUAAGACCAGGUAGGGUAGUGUUAUCGAAGGGUAAUUGAAGAGUUGGUAGAGAGUAAGAGGUUUUGAAGGAGGCAGGUUUGCUGUUGUCACCAAAUAAUUUGGGGGAAACCUUUCGUGGCUGUGCUGCAAGAAUUCUUUAUGUGGCUAUCCUCUCCAUAGUUCUCUGACCAGAAUUGCAAGGGCAAAAAUAGAACUUCUAGCUCUAUUUAUUUGUAUCCUUUGAAAUCAGAACUUAUCCUUAGAACCAGUCAGUUAAAUAAUGCGGGCUAUGCCUAUAAUCCCAACACUUUAGGAGGCUGAGGCAGGCAGAUCACAAGGUCAGGAGUUCAAGACCAGCCUGGCCAAUAUGGUGAAACUCCGUCUCUACUAAAAAUACAAAAAUUAGCCGGGCAUGUUGGUGCACGCCCAUGCCUGUAGUCCCAGCUCCUCGGGAGGCUGAGGCAGAAGAAUUGCUUGAACCCAGGAGGCGGAGGUUGCAGUGAGCCGAGAUACUGCCACUACACUCCAGUCUGGGCGACAGAACGAGACUCCAUCUCAAAAAAACAAAAUAAAAUAAAAUAAUAAUGUGGGCUAUUCAGAAGAAAAAGUCAGUGACAGAGAGACCAGAACCCAUUGGAUCAAGAGACCUGCAGGGAUUAUAACUGUUUACUCUGUGAGCAGCGGUGUUUCGUGCCGUCUCUGCCCGUGUGUUUUUACUAAGAAUUCCAGAAAUCCUAUAAUUUGUAAAUGGGAAACAGAGGAACCAGAUUCUUUUAUAGCUGAUAAGAAACAGUCUGUUUUAGAAACAUCUGUUUGGAAAGUAUUACUCAUGUAUUCACAAAGUCAUAUAUAUAACACUUGUCUGCUUUGUAUUCAACAAAAGGCAGUUUCACCAUUAAUUUCAUAGUAAGCUUUUUUAAAGGAUUCUAGAUCUAAAUUGCCUAAGAAUGUUAACCACAUUCUUGUUUUAAACUCUCUAAUUUAAUAAAUGUAAUUAUUUGAUAGUCUUUUAUAGACUUAACGUUUUCUUCAUACUAAAGGUAAUGAUAAUAUAGUCAUUUGCCAGUUCUUUAAGGUAUUCAUGCAUUUGAGACAAGAAAGCUGUCUUGUAGAAUAGUCCAAUUGCUUUCUUAAACAGUACUGGUUUCAUUUAGACAGUUUCUAAGCCAGCAAAGGUGUCAAUUUUAAUGCCAACUUGACAGUUUAACAGUUUGUGUUUGUAAGCAGUUUAGCCUGAAUUACCCCAUACUGCUAUAGAGGAGAAUUGUUAGUAACAUCAAAGGUCAGAAUGCUUCAGGUGACUAAUAAGAAUGGAAAGAGACUGAGUAGGUUUUUUGUUUCUUUUCCCUGUCUUGAGUAACUUUGAAUGACUAAAAUUAGUAUGAAACUAGGUUUUGGACCCCCUUCUCACCUUACCCGGAUGUAAUGCCACCAAUUUCAAAUAACUAAAAUGUGACCAAUUACUUUGCUUCAAGUUCUAUACAGAUAUCUCUGAAAUCUGUAAGCCAUAUUUCAGCUAUUCUGGUUUUUAUAAUACAUUCUACUCUAAAUUAACCAAAGGACUUUUUAUUCAGUGUAUUCCAUGUUUCAGCAUAAGGAAAGUUUGUGCCUGAUAUGGCAAGAGAAAGAACACUAUGGUAAUUUCAUUGUUACUUCAGGUCUCUUUCAAUCUGAAGGACUGGGUUGUCUGGAGAAUUGAACACAGCCGAGCAAUAUUAUCAAUUAGUAAUGUCAUCUUAAAAAUGUUCAGUUUUACUAAGUUUUAUUCAGAGGAUCUAUGUAUUAUUAGAAAAAUGAAGUAUUUCUGAUAUGGAACAAAGAAAGUAGAAACUGGUACUUAAUGGGGGAAGCAAAAUUAGCUUGGACUAAAACAGACAUGUUUUGUUUUGUGAAUUCUACCUAAAUGUCUCUCUAUCCACAGAGAAACUAGUAUUACUUGAAGAUGUGAAAGUUCCUGUGGUAGCCAUACCUUGAAGCACAGUGUUUGUACAUAAGUAAAUAUCUUGAUUCUAAAUUAAAUCCAGAUUUAACUAAUAUAUAUUAUUUUAUAUCUUUGUUGUAUUAAAAUGUUUAAAAACACUAAAAAUAAAACAUUUGAAAGUUGGA